rnacentral:rRNA from 1 species
AUACGUAUGUCGCCAGCGUUAUCCGGAUUUAUUGGGCGUAAAGCGCGUCUAGGCGGCUUAGUAAGUCUGAUGUGAAAAUGCGGGGCUCAACCCCGUAUUGCGUUGGAAACUGUUAAACUAGAGUACUGGAGAGGUAGGCGGAACUACAAGCGUAGAGGUGAAAUUCGUAGAUAUUUGUAGGAAUGCGGAUGGGGAAGCAAGCCUACUGGACAGAUACUGACGCUAAAGCGCGAAAGCGUGGGUAGCAAACAGGAUUAGAUACCCUGGUAGUCCACGCCGUAAACGAUGAUUACUAGGUGUUGGGGGUCGAACCUCAGCGCCCAAGCUAACGCGAUAAGUAAUCCGCCUGGGGAGUACGUACGCAAGUAUGAAACUCAAAGGAAUUGGCGGGG